UCGGCGAUCAGUGCGGGCGUGGUGCCGCGUGGCUGCUGGCCGCGCAGCCAGCGGGUCACGGACGUUUUGUCGUACC
rnacentral:tRNA from 1 species